CUACGGAGGGAGCAAGCGUUAUUCGGAAUCACUGGGCGUAAAGGACGCGUAGGCGGGUUUGUAAGUCAGGUGUGAAAUCCUACAGCUCAACUGUAGAACUGCACUUGAAACUACAGACCUAGAGUAUGGAAGGGGCAGAUGGAAUUAGUGGUGUAGGGGUAAAAUCCGUAGAUAUCACUAGGAAUACCGAAAGCGAAGGCGAUCUGCUGGGACAUUACUGACGCUGAGGCGUGAAAGCGUGGGGAGCAAACAGGAUUAGAUACCCCGGUAGUCC
rnacentral:rRNA from 1 species